rnacentral:lncRNA from 1 species
CCGAUACAACCCAUAGAUUCAUCAAAAUAAGCAAACAACACAAAAAAACAAAAUCUGUCAAAAACAGAGCAGUGUGUAGCAAUCUGUGUAACUCCAGAAAUUCUGAUAAAUUAGCAAGAUAUGGGAAAUUUGUAAACCAAUGUUGUGUAAAAAUUUCAGAUCGAAAGCACGUUUCAGCGAAUUUAUAAAAUUCCUGGACUAAGAGCGAAAGUUUCUAUUUUUUAGCAAAAUCAAUCUUGCAAACACCAUAGACCAUCCCAACGGUCUUACUUGGCUCAAACGCUAAUUAAAACAAGAAAACACAAUUAUUACAGAGGUAAUAAUGUGUGCGGCACUCAGAAACAAAAACAAAAACAAAAACA